AGAUAGCGUAACAGCUCACUGGUCUAAACAAGCCGUCCUGCGCCGAAGAUGUAUCGGGGCUCAAACUAUGUACCGAAGCUGAGGAUUCACACUUAUGUGUGAGUGGUAGCGGAGCGUUCCGUAGGCCUGCGAAGGUGUACCGCGAGGUAUGCUGGAGGUAUCGGAAGUGAGAAUGCUGACAUGAGUAGCGAUAAAGAGUGUGAGAAACACUCUCGCCGAAAGUCCAAGGGUUCCUGCGUAAAGCUAAUCUGCGCAGGGUGAGCCGGCCCCUAAGGCGAGGCCGAAAGGCGUAGUCGAUGGGAACUAGGUUAAUAUUCCUAGGCUUGGUGGUAGUGACGGAUGAUGGCAGCAGUGUGGGCUUAACGGAUUGUCCAUGCUGUGAAGUUGUCCCAGGAAAUAACUCCACCGUAUAAACCGUACCCUAAACCAACACAGGUGGACUGGUAGAGCAUACCAAGGCGCUUGAGAGAACUCUGCUGAAGGAACUCGGCAAAUUA
rnacentral:rRNA from 1 species